rnacentral:rRNA from 1 species
AACGAACGCUGGCGGCGUGGAUAAGACAUGCAAGUCGAACGGAGAUUCUUUAGAGCUUGCUUUGAAGAGUCUUAGUGGCGAACGGGUGAGUAACACGUGAGUUACCUGCCCCGAAGCGGGGGAUAGCCCGAAGAAAUUCGGAUUAAUACCCCAUGUGAUCGUAAGAUUAAAGGCGGCGUAAGCUGUCGCUUCGGGAUGGGCUCGCGGCCUAUCAGCUUGUUGGUGAGGUAAUGGCUCACCAAGGCGAUGACGGGUAGCUGGUCUGAGAGGAUGAUCAGUCACACUGGAACUGAGACACGGUCCAGACACCUACGGGUGGCAGCAGUCGAGAAUCAUUCGCAAUGGGCGAAAGCCUGACGGUGCGACGCCGCGUGGAGGAUGAAGGCCCUAGGGUCGUAAACUCCUGUCAUCAGGGAGUAAGGGCUCAUAUAGUAACUGCUAUGGGUCUUGAUAGUACCUGAAGAGGAAGGGACGGCAAACUUCGUG